rnacentral:lncRNA from 1 species
AGGGAUGUGAUGGCAUAAUUCCUUUGGAACCCAGGGAUUGUGAUGACACUGGAGAGAAGCUGCCCCUGGGAAAAAUGAUGCUCACAGGUGACUUAAUGACUUGAAAGACCAAUCAGGAACCGACUUUGGUAGAAGAGACUCGAAGACUUUUGAGUAUCUUCCGGACGCUCUGGAGACCAUCUCCGGUGGAAGAUGCGCGGUGUACACAUUUUACAGAUGCAAAAUUCUUGCUCUGCUCACAACGCCUUGAGGAUCCUGGAAGACCUGCCUAGCCUCUUCACUUUUCCCUUUAUCCUGUCCCCCUAAGCCUCCCCAUUCAGCCUUUGUCAGAGCUACUACACACUUGCUUCUCUGCUGUUCCUGGAAAGUGCACCAUGUACCUGCCUCCUGCCUUGGGCUCUUCUGGGGGCAGCUGCCAGGACAUCUCUUCCUCCACCGGAGAGUGUGGAUCUUGCCUUCAGACGUCAGCUCCAGACGCAGGAGUUCUCAGAACCGCCCUAUUUAAAAUUGGAAUCUCCG